AGUGAACGCUGGCGGUAGGCCUAACACAUGCAAGUCGAACGGCAGCACAGUAAGGGCUUGCUCUUACGGGUGGCGAGUGGCGGACGGGGGAGGAAUACAUCGGAAUCUACUUUUUCGUGGGGGAUAACGUAGGGAAACUUACGCUAAUACCGCAUACGACCUACGGGUGAAAGCAGGGGAUCUUCGGACCUUGCGCGAUUGAAUGAGCCGAUGUCGGAUUAGCUAGUUGGCGGGGUAAAGGCCCACCAAGGCGACGAUCCGUAGCUGGUCUGAGAGGAUGAUCAGCCACACUGGAACUGAGACACGGUCCAGACUCCUACGGGAGGCAGCAGUGGGGAAUAUUGGACAAUGGGCGCAAGCCUGAUCCAGCCAUACCGCGUGGGUGAAGAAGGCCUUCGGGUUGUAAAGCCCUUUUGUUGGGAAAGAAAAGCAGCAGGUUAAUACCCCGCUGUUCUGACGGUACCCAAAGAAUAAGCACCGGCUAACUUCGUG
rnacentral:rRNA from 1 species